rnacentral:rRNA from 1 species
CAGUCGCCGCGGUAAUACGGAGGGAGCUGGCGUUGUUCGGAAUUACUGGGCGUAAAGCGUGCGUAGGCGGUUACUCAAGUCAGAGGUGAAAGCCCGGGGCUCAACCCCGGAACUGCCUUUGAAACUAGGUGACUAGAAUCUUGGAGAGGUCAGUGGAAUUCCGAGUGUAGAGGUGAAAUUCGUAGAUAUUCGGAAGAACACCAGUGGCGAAGGCGACUGACUGGACAAGUAUUGACGCUGAGGUGCGAAAGCGUGGGGAGCAAACAGGAUUAGAGACCCCGGUAGUCCCUGUCUCUUAUAC